CGUUCGCGUAGAACGUUGGUAUGUCCCGCGUUCGAAGGAUUCUCAAGAAUUACAGGAGACGCAGACGUUACAUUAUUAUACGUACCCGUACACGUACGUGUGUCUACGUAGAGACGUACGUGUGCCUAUGUGAGACGAAGUGUAAUCAGUCUGGUUUGUGUAAGACGAGGGAUUUCUGUAGUAAACCGAGGUUGAAACUUUGAAUUUGUCUGCGACAGCAACGAGCUGUUGUUGCAAUAGGAAGACGUUACGGUUAAGAGUGAAGACACUGCUGUUGCUGCCGCUGCCGCUGCCGCCGUCGUCGGAGUUUCAGAAAUUCGAGGAGAUUUGCGGUUUCAGAAUGACGAGACGAAGAAGAGCAACGAUUAUAUCCCCAUCCACUUCGUAAGCGGCCUGGCUGCACCGCAACGAGGAAUAAAAAUUUUUUCGGUAAACGACGACGUUCGUACGCACCGCGGUGAGGUAUGACGAUGACGACGACGACAAUCAGCCUCCUGUUCAUUUUUCAAUGCUGCCACCCGAAACGUACCUAUCCAACGGGGUAUGCCAAUAUCUAGGGCCAGCCAAACCGCAAGUGUGUCAAUAGCAGUUGUAGCGACGUAACACAUCCUCAUCCACAUCGAAAUCCACCAUCCACCGAUACACCCUCCGUGAUGGAUACAUACCUAGUGCAACUCUGCACCUUUGUAGUAACACUCGAGCGAAAGAGGCCGCGGCACAGCGAACAGUUAUGUAUACAGUAUACAUAUUACAUACGUAUGUACGUAUACAUACAUACAUACAUACGUAUAUAAAAUACAUGGAUGUCGCGUUAUUGCAGCAACGCGAUAUUUCUAAACGUGAAAAGGACUCGAGAAUCUUGUGGGCUUCAAGUUUUCCCUCCAACCGCAGGUGUUCUAUACCUAUAGCGUAAGUCCUCUGGCUCCUCCAGGAUAAUCCUGUACGGCGAAGCACCUUAUAUAUUUACGCCGACGUAGCUAAAAUCCUGUCACACGUAUUUACGCACAAAGAAUCCUACUAGCUGCAAGUAUUAGUUUGGCAGGAGGAGGCUUUCACUUGUCUACUUUCCGGGACCCGGACGAGCCACCCGCGCCACGGCGUGCCACCCGCGCCAUCCAAAGGGUACCUCUUCGCCGGCAAACGGAGCGCUGAGAUACAGGGUUGGCCAUUUGAAUAAAUGAAUAUGCAGACCCCGUUGUCUCUAUGUUAAUUGGUCGUCGCUACUUUGCGUCCACCUGACUUGUGCUUCGCUCCUACCGUCUCUACGUGGGAGGUGAACGAGUCCAUCGGUAAAUCGUUAUCAGGGUGUUAGGGGUAAUUUGAAAUAUUCCAUCACUCCGGUAGAACGCGGUAAAGUCCUCGCAACUGCAACGAAACAGGAAAUUGUAUACUUCGGUAGAAAGAGGUGGGAUAAGGAGACUGCGGAGGAGGUGGUGGUUAAGUUAAGGUUUUCCGUCUUGGAUUUCACGGCAGUUCAGCUUCGGCCAUAGGAGCGGCGACACCAGGAGCGACGUCAGUAGCAACGCAGAUCCUUCAGAGCGACGAUGGAGAGAGCGAACGGUCACAGUUCCUCCGACGUCAUUGACCGGACUCCCCCUGUUCAUCAGGGGGAGUCCACCGUCCCCUGGGACUGCGC